CCCAGUGUUAAGAUCUCCCUAGGGAAAGUGGAGGUGUGGGUUGGUGGUAUGAUACCCCAGUGUUAAGAUCUCCCUAGGGGAAGUGGAGGUGUGGGUUGGUGGUAUGAUACCCCAGUGUUAAGAUCUCCCUAGGGGAAGUGGAGGUGUGGGUUGGUGGUAUGAUACCCCAGUGUUAAGAUCUCCCUAGGGGAAGUGGAGGUGUGGGUUGGUGGUAUGAUACCCCAGUGUUAAGAUCUCCCUAGGGAAAGUGGAGGUGUGGGUUGGUGGUAUGAUACCCCAGUGUUAAGAUCUCCCUAGGGAAAGUGGAGGUGUGGGUUGGUGGUAUGAUACCCCAGUGUUAAGAUCUCCCUAGGGGAAGUGGAGGUGUGGGUUGGUGGUAUGAUACCCCAGUGUUAAGAUCUCCCUAGGGAAAGUGGAGGUGUGGGUUGGUGGUAUGAUACCCCAGUGUUAAGAUCUCCCUAGGGGAAGUGGAGGUGUGGGUUGGUGGUAUGAUACCCCAGUGUUAAGAUCUCCCUAGGGGAAGUGGAGGUGUGGGUUGGUGGUAUGAUACCCCAGUGUUAAGAUCUCCCUAGGGGAAGUGGAGGUGUGGGUUGGUGGUAUGAUACCCCAGUGUUAAGAUCUCCCUAGGGGAAGUGGAGGUGUGGGUUGGUGGUAUGAUACCCCAGUGUUAGUAAUUAUCACAAGCCUGAUAAAGUAGCUGAAGAC